CACGUAGGGGGCGAGCGUUGUCCGGAAUUACUGGGCGUAAAGGGCGCGCAGGCUGUUAUGCGAGUCUGCUGUGAAAUGUACCGGCUCAACCGGUGCCUUGCGGCGGAUACUGCAUAGCUGGAGUACUGGAGAGGGAAGUGGAAUUCCCGGUGUAGCGGUGAAAUGCGUAGAUAUCGGGAAGAACACCAGUGGCGAAGGCGGCUUACUGGCCAGCAACUGACGCUGAGGCGCGAAAGCCAGGGGAGCGAACGGGAUUAGAUA
rnacentral:rRNA from 1 species